rnacentral:lncRNA from 1 species
GCCCUAAAGGUCAAGAGCACACAGCUUUCCAACUCUCAAGAACAAUUGGAAGCUCUUCGAUCCGAGAGGGAAGUCAUCAAGACGUGUGUUUCGGAUGUCCACGCCGCUCUAUCCAACAUCCUGGAAGCACACGACCCCAUCCUCAAUCACUCGGUGAGGCGUACCCUCGCUGAGAAACUCUCUCCGGCCAUGGAUCUCUUGAGUAAAAUUGAAGGCCUACCCAGUUUCGUGUCCAUUCCGAAACAAGGGGGAGAUGAGAAGAAAGGAUCGAAACCACCUCCUUCCUCCAAAGCUACUCACACAACCGAACCACCCCCAACUGGUCAUGCCUCGGGUUCGGGUGUGAAGAACAAGGGCAAAAACAUAGCUGAGGGAGGAGAUGAAGAUGAAGAUGAAGAUGAAGACAAGGAGACCAUUGCGGACAUGUUAAAAAGAAAGAACAGUCGCAAUGCUGAAGGCGAUGCCAGUCGUGUGGCGCGUGAGGCUGAAGAAGCCGAACGAAAGCAAAAAGAAGCCCACGAUCUCCUUGAGAGCCGAAAGUUGCUCUUCCCUGCCUGGACCAGGGAUCGUCUGAUAAAAGAGGCCAUAGAGACUCCAAGCAUACUAUGGCUCGAGCCGGUGAUAUCGUUCGACUGCAACAACACCAUCGAUUCGCAGUUCGAUAUGCCACUGACUCGAAAGGCGUUCAUCUUCCACGCCUUCUCCAACAUCUUUGAAGUCCCGCAUCCGAACGAUGAGCUUGACAGGGAGCUCAUUGACUUCUACCUGGAGGCCGCUCGCCCUCAAUACCUUACAUGGAGCGCCCAGAAGAUUGUCAAUGUUCGGGUGAUGAAGCCUUUUGCCGUGGGGAGAUUCACAAACGUCAAGUUCAAGCUUAUCCGAGGAUCUGCAAGAACUGCUCACAUGAUCUCUCUGGCGGAUCUGCCCAAUCUGAACCCUCAUGAUUGGAUAGUCUUGUACAACAUCUUGCUGACAAACGAAGCCGAAUAUGGUCCCAUCUUAGACCAUGUCAAAAGGAUGCUGGCAUGCUAUAUCAUGGAGGUGGCCCUAAUGGAUCAGGAGGUUGCCACAGUUUUUAAGAAGAAACCGAAAGUCAAACCUGUGGGAUCGGCCAGUGAUCUGAAUCAAAUGCAAAUGGGCAAGAUAGAUUCGAGGCGAAACUCUGUGAUGUUCACUAGAGCCGAAGGACAGAAAUGUCUCUUCGCUUUAGCUGACAAACAUCUUUACACCACAACUUGCUUGGAGCACGUCCUAUCAAUCGUCAAGCGGUGUAAAGACAAUUCGGCUGAUGAUAUCAAGUACUUCGAUGAUAUGAUCAAUUGGUACAUCCGGUUUAGACAGACCAUCCUUUCCAUAACCAAGUGUCUGUUUAGUACCGUGAAGAAGAAGGUACCAGCUUCAGCCGCCGGCCCAAGCAAGAAGUGAAGGUCUCGCUCCAAAUUGACGCAAAGGGGGAGAUUGUUGGGCUAUAAAUAGUUUUAAUUAUGUUGCGUCUUUUGGGCUCGUAGAUUAGCCUUGUAUUCUCCGGUUUGGGCCUGUCCAACCGAGAGCCUUUUAUGUAUAGUAUUUAAGUUAAUGCUUGCAUGCAUAUUAGGUUAAGANCAUGCAUAUUAGGUUAAGAUUCAAGAUUUCAGUUUUAGCAUUCCAGAGUUUUACGAUAUUGCUCUCUUGUAAUCUUCCAAUCCUUUACAGUUGAUGUUCUUAAUCGAGCUCUUCUAAGGAUUUUAUUUAAUCAUUCGACACGUUUGAUUCAAGCUGUUCGUUCUUAUUUUUGUGUUCUGCCUUGUUAUUAAUAUUGUGUUCUUGCUGUUUCAUAUUCAUAUACUUGUUCAAGAUCUAAUCGAUCUUCAUAGAUUAAAAGUUUGUUUUAAUCCCAUCAACAUGUUAUAAUGAUUAUAAACAUGUUACAACUAGACAACAAUACUUAUCGUUUUACCAUAUAAUAUUAUGAUUUUAUGUGACGAAUAGCAUGUCAUAAAUUUUAUAAGANGAAUAUAUCAAAACUUUAUUGACUUUUAUAGUAAAACUUUAUUCAUCGUACAACAUUUCGCCUAGUGACUUAUCCAUGUAUAAGUUAGGGUUAUUCACUUUCGAUCAUUACGCCCCGAAUAGGGCAUGUAUUAUUUGACUACAUUAGUUAGGGGCUUUUAUUGUGAGACACUAUUCAUUACCUAAGUUAAACACUUAGUAUACCCAUACCUCUAUAACCGUUAAUCCUUAGAGCGAGAUACAUAUGUAUAGAUCUAUAUGGGUUGACACCCCCACCUGCGGUUGCUAGCUACAACCUUUACGGAUCAAUCGAAGCGAGUGAUAAUUAUCUUUUGUCAUUUAUCCACGGCGUCCAAUGAAGCGGCGUAAGGGGGUUAUAUCUAGUCACAUAGCUCGGUUAUAGGACUCAUAAUAAACAUUAACUGGAUCAUUUAUCUAGAAACCAUAGAUUCAGUUUCUCUAUUUAUCAAACAUUUUGAGUAUAAAUUUACUUAUGAUUUCUCUCUUUAUCAAACAUUUUAAGUAUGGAUUUACUUAUAAUUUAUCUCUUUAUCAUACAUUUUAAGUAUGGAGUUACUUAUGAUUUAUCACUUUAUUAAUCAUCUUAGGUAUGGAUUUACUUAUGAUUUAUCUCUUUAUCAAACAUUUUAAGUAGGGAAUUAUUUAUUAUUUUUCGCUUGGUCAAACAUUUCAAGUAUGGACUUAUAAUUUAUCUCUUUAUCAAACAUGGUUUUAACUACAAGGGAAAUACUUUUCAGACUUUUUAAAAGUAUUAUUACCGCUAGACCUGGCAAUGGGGCGGGUUUGGAGCGAAUCAACCUUGAUCCAAACCCUAUUAAAAAAUUUCAAAAUCUGAUCCAAACCCGCUCCGUAACCCAUAGGGUUUUGAAUAAUCAAAUUCAUACCCUUAUCCACCGAAUCAACGAAUAUCCAAUCCCGCCCCGUAACCCAUAGGCUUUUUGAAUUAUUAAAAACAUUUUACUUAAUUCAAAAAUAAUAUUUCUUAAAUAAAACAAAUGUUGAUUUAGAAAACACAUUACGUACUCGAGGACUUCCGAUUGAAAUUAAAAAAUCACUAUUGUAGUAACUUUUGAUUUAUUUUUUACUGUCAAUUGUAGUGAUAAAAAAUAGCAAUGACAAAUUUUCUUUCAGUCGAUGAAUGAAUUUAUUGAUUUAUGAAUGAAACGAGGUUUUAUGGCCGCGCGUUGCGGCGGUACUUUAAGCAAUGAAGUUUAAGUUUCACACUGUUUAAUAAAAUUUAUUUAAAUUUUUUGAUGAAAAGUGUAUGAAUUAUGUAUUUUGGUAUGUUAAAUUUGUUAAAUGGUUAAGCAAAAAGAUAUAACACUUAUAAUAUAAAUAAAAGCUGAAUAAACAACUUUACAUAGUUGUAGACAUAUUUAGAAGGGACAUUGAUAUUCAACAUAUUUUAAGUAAUGGCAACAGUAGCAGUUCUUCAAAAGGGGCAAAAGUAGCAGUUCUUCAAAAGGUUUGAACAAAAUACACGGUAGUAACAACCCAUGAUGUAACAAAAUAUCGCAGUGACAACUGUCCCAAACGUUUUUACAUAGCACGCCAGCUCUCCAAAGUUUUUGUAGAAAAUAUGCCAGAGCCUCAAAAGUUAAUCAUAUUUCCUGUGACAUUGUUCAAAAAGCAUAAAUAAAUAUUGAAUAUAGGAAAUACUAAAUAAUUGAUAGACAAUCCAUGAUAUUACAUAUAUACCUUACUAAACUGCAUGACAUGGAGCACAACUACUUGUCUUUUCCUCAUGAACCAACACAGGUUUUGUUGUUCACGUUUGCUACAUCAACACAUUUUUUUGCUUCUUAACCGACUUACCAUCUGUUUGGUCAAGUGAAUCUGCAAAAAACCUUCAAUAUUAUUUUCCAAAUAAUAAAAAAAUGUUAUAUAUAUAUAUUCCUAAAAUAGAUUCUAGAAGAAACGAUUAGUAAGAUUUAUGUACCUUCAGAUGAUGUUUGGAAAAGUUGUUUCUGGACAGAUUUCAUUUGGUGAUGUUUAGUUUCAGCAGAAGCGGGUGUGAUGGGUGAUGUUGUGAGACGCUCUUUGUCACACCCCAAAACCAAGAACGGUGGAAACGUUCUGGGGCGGAGGACGUCAUGUACAGUAUCACAACAAUGAAAAGUAGUAAACAAGAAACAACAUCAUCCAUUGCAUUAAUAAUAUAAUUUUAAUACAAGUGUUCUGAAAAAUUAUGAUAAACACUAAAGUAUAAUCAAAAUGAAAGAUGAGUCUUGAACGAGCUCAUUCUCUAAACCUUGCAUCAGUACCUGUCUAUUGAUGACCUGAGGAUACAAGUAUUUUGAAAGCGAGUAUCAGCUUUAAAGCUGGUGAGAUCAUAAGUAUUUUAGUGUCUAAAUUUGUAUGUAAGAAAUUGUUUGUAUAUGAACUGUAAGUAUUAAAAAUUUAUAUCAACUAUAAGUAUAAAAAUGUUUGUAAAACAACUGUAAACGUUUGAAAAACCCUAGAAAUCCCUAUGAUUCCUACUAUUAUAUAAGGGUGUCUUCUACCAAGACCUAACUGUUCUAAAGGUAGUCUUCUACCAAGACUUAACUGUUCUAAAUGUUCGUUUAUUGUAAAAGUGUGUAAUUUUCCCAAGUGUAACUAUCAUUAACAAAAUAUAGUUUGUACAUUUAAUGUUUAAGUGAAAUGAUCACUAAAUAUAUGUAAAGGGGAAAUUAAUGUAGUAUUGUAGUGUUGUAUUAUAGGAACUACUGUUGUACUAACUACCUUAAACCGGAUUUACAUUAAGGUAUCAUGUGAUUAAUUGUACCAUACUAUCGACUAGGUAACAACGACAAAUGUAGGUCGUAAAAAGGUAUGACGUUUGGCACCCGCAGACCUGCAGGUCCGGCUGUAGCUAGCAGCAAGGUGUAGGAUAGUCAAUCCAGUAUAGAUCUAUACGCAAACUCACGCUCUCCCUCCAAGAGACUCUGGCUACAACUCGGGCCAUGACAUUGAAGGCAUGCUCCGAUACAGUGGAUCACAAUUUUGUUAACGUAUUCAUGUAUAUGUACUUAUGUAAGCGUAAUCAUGUAAAAGUAUAUGAACGUAUGCCUUUGCUACCCAAAGGUACUGAACUGACUGAAAGGAACUAUUAUGUCCAUAUAUGUAUACAUGAUAUAUAACUAAUGUUUAAACGACCUUCGGACGGGUACCCGAUAUCCCACCAGACCACAUCUCAAGCGCGAAAAGGAAAUAGGGUGGAUAGCCUUCCAAAGUCCUUUAAACAUUUCUUAUAUAACUAUACAUAUAUAGGCAUGCUUAUAACAGGAUCUUUAUGUAAACGUAUCAAUGUAAAUGUAAAGUAAUGUACUGUAAUGUUCUGCGUGUGCUAGCUGUAAUGUGUGUUCUUUCUCUAUCUAGCAAGUAUUGACUCAUGAAUGAACUGACUCAUUGUAUGAUAUCGCGUUCUAGUAAUGGUUCUAAUAUCUUCCUAAACUACCCAUAUGGUAGCUUACUAGUAAUGUAAUUGGUAUGUAUGAACAUGGAUGUAUACCCUUGCUACCCAAGGGCAUUGGCUGAACUGGAAGGACCUUUAUGACUAUAUAUGUACACAUGAUAUAUACAACUAUAUUUUUAACGACCUUCAGACGGGUACCCGAUAUCCCACCAGACCACAUCCAAAUCGAGGAAAAGGAAAUAGGGUGGAUAGCCUUCCUAAGUCUUUUAAACAUUCCUCAUAUAACUAUCCAUAUAUAGGCAUGCAAUUUAUAAUAUAAAAGCAUAAAGCAAGUUUUGUAAAACUUGUGAACAUAAUUAUUAUCUAAGAAAAGAUCGACUUGAUGUCAAUCUAUAAAACAGUUUGAAGGCAUGGGUUUGAUAAAACAGUUUAGUAUAAAGAAACAUUUGUUUAAAACACAAUUGUAAUAAGUUUGAAAUGUAACAUACAGAGUAAAAUGAAUAGUUUAAUAAGGAGUUUUAAACAUAUAAAACGUUUAUGAAAAACAUUUGAAGGAAAUUGUUUGGUAAAACGGCUAAUGAGUAGCAAAUCAUUUGAAUGUUGUUUAUUAAUCACAUGUGAUUGAUAUAAUAACUAGCAUGAUUCUACUUGUAUCCCCCCCCCCCCNAAACAUUUAAAAACAGUUAAAACAUUGAUUAAGGGGUAUGAACUCACCUGUUGUGGGUGAUACGGAUGAACUGAAGAGGUAGGACUGCUAGGUGUCAAGUGAAGUCUUGAACACACUUACGAUCCUAGUUAACAUAUAAUUUCACAUAUAUGUAACAAAUUAGUCUAUAAACAACUAAUAAACAAGUCAAGACACCCUAGGACAUGCUAGACACCUUUAUCAAGUGUUAUUAGCCUCUAGGAUUUCAUCUAAGUGUUUGUAGGGAAAUAUUUUGUGUGUAGGGCUCAAGGAAAACUCCAUAGGGGAGUUCACGACCCUAAAGACACUACUAAAUGAUUUUACGGUUGUAAACUCAUGAGUUUAUAGUCGUGAGCUCAUACUUAUGUGUCCAUUUGAUGUUUGAUGCUCUAUAAGGUCCUAAGAAGCAUUUCUACUUAAUGGCUUGGUCCUUGGAAGAGUUUAGGGCAUAAUAUAACUCCUUUUAGGAGUUUACGGCCCUAGGACCAUAUCCCUUGGAGAUUACGGCCAUAAUCUCCCUUGGGAGGAUUUUUUGGUGUUUUCAAGUCCCUAAAUUAACUAGGAACUAAACUAGGCUAUUAUACAAGGCUUUAGAAGAGUUUAUAGCACCAUUUGGCACUAUUGUAUGGAGUUCACGGCCCUAGAACUUCUUGGGCCGUGAACACCUUACUCUUGGUGUUCUAAGGGUGUUUUCUAGUCCUAAACUCAUUAGGGUACAUGUCUAAACUAGUCUCUUGGCUUAAGGAAGGCUUUUAGGGUGUUUUGGCACCUAAAAAUGGAGUUCACGACCCAAGAACAUCCUUGGCCGUGAACUCACUUUCAACCCUUGAUUCUUAAUGUUUUGGAUGUCUAAACAAGCUAUGGGUAGUCUCAAGGUUCAUUUCCAAGGUUUGGAGGGACAUUGGGCACACUUUGGCCCUUAAAGAAGAGUUUACACUCCAAGUGUUCUUGGGCGGUAAACUCUCAAAUCUUGGGGUUUUGAUCCGAUUUUGAUGUUAUUAAGCACAAUUUAAGCUAUAUAAUACAACUAGAUGGAAGUACUCACGAUUUGGGAUGAAAACCCGAAGAUCCGUGAGAGAGAAUUCGGCUUUUCUCUAGUUGGAAAUGUAACUAAUGAAUGAAUAUGGUUCAGAUUUCUAUAUAUAGUCCUGGGAUUUUUGGCAGAAAAUAUUUUAUUCUCGGAAUGAACUCUAAUAUCAUAGAGUUUUGGAAUAACAGUGUUGCACAAAACCCUAGUGCAUCCACUCUCCUGAUAUCUCCUUAAGUGCAAUUUCUGAAAUACUCAAACUUAUACCCAAAGUCUGGAAUUUCACUGUAAUUGUUCUACUUCUAUUGGCUGGAUAUGGUUUGUACAGAAUGGAAAUUUCGGGUUGUCACACUCUUGAAAGGCUUUUGUUGGAGUAACAGAAGCAGUAGAUGGAGGAUCAGUUGAUGUAGUGGGUGUUUUUUUUUAUGAUGCUGAGGCAGUUGGUUGGUUGAUAAUGUCUGUUUCUGUGUGACUUUCUUUUUCUGGAGAAACUAUAUCUUCAAAAACAGCAUCUGCUACAAAGUCUUUAGCACCCGGCCUACAGAAUCUUGCGAAUCGGAAUUGAAUUAUUUUUGGCUGGCCUAUGAGAAUGAUGAGCGGUGCAGGCAAUGUGUACGGAUCAAUGUAUCCAUGAUGAUCAAUGAGUGUGUUGCAAUCUGUUUGGAACAACAUUCUAGUUGCAGCAUCAAAAAAUACUAUCUUUGCUUGAGCGGUCUCAUCUGCGAUGUAUGCUGUGAUAAAAAACCUGUUGACACGAUUAUUAGACAUAUGUAUGUUAAGAUGAUUAUACUUAAGUAGUUGACAUAAAAAACAUAGUACUUACAAAUUGUUUGGUUUAGCAACUUGAUCAUGAUCUUCGCAUGCAAGUGUGUUUCCUCUUUUUGAAGUUNCUCAAGUAGUUGACAUAAAAAACAUAGUACUUACAAAUUGUUUGGUUUAGCAACUUGAUCAUGAUCUUCGCAUGCAAGUGUGUUUCCUCUUUUUUGAAGUUUUUUACGACAUUCAUGACAUGCUUUAUAAAACCAACCCUUGCUUGCAUCUAUGCUAACCAGAGAUGCUUUGCAAGUGAACUGAGCUCCCUGUAAUAUUAUAUAUAUUAAAUUUAAAACUAUAAAAUUUGUAUAUAUAUUUUAAGAUAAGAGAAGGUUUGAUGGCUUACUGCAUAACGAUUUGGGUUUUGAGAUAGCAAGUCUACCAAUGGAAACCUGUUUCUUUUCUUUUCGACUUCUACAUCUUUACUUUUUGGUAUUGUAUCUUGAGUACAGGGUUUUGAUUAUGUCGUUCGAGAAACCUAAAAGAGAAAAUGAACUAUAAGAUAUGUCACAAAGUUAUAUAAAUAUGAAUAAAGAACUUACUCAGCAGCCACUACAACAGCCUUGGGAAUAGUGGGGUUGAUGUAAAUAUAUGAGGCUGGAGUUGCGGUCAGUUGCAAAUUUCCUAUUAAAGAAACCAACAUAACAAUGCUGUUAAUUACAAAAUAAAAGAAAAAUAAGCAAAAAUAAUAAGGUUGGGGCAGUUUCUAUAAAUGUUGCUUAAUGCAAGAAAUGGGAAUGUACUUUAAUCUGACUUUCUAAUAUAGCAUAAUACUUUAAACUUUAUUUCUCUAUUUCUUUUUAAAUAAGUGUCUUUCAUUAUUAAGCAUUGUACUUUGAAAGCAAAAUGCUUCAAUACAAUAAAAUGAGAAAAAUGUACCUAGACAGUGUGUGACCUUCAUUGAAGUAAUAGCAACAAUAACAGGAGAAGGCAAUGUUUCGAUAGCUUCUUUAUCAAAUAAGUUAGCCGCCUCAUCCAAGAAAGUUGUCUCAAUCAUUGUUCCAUUAAACAUACAUAUUUCAGAUAUUAAAUAUGAUAUGUUGUGGUCUUUGUUAGAUAUAUGAGAUAGAAAAUACCUCAAAUUUUCUAGUUUGAGUUUCAAAAUUGCAUUUCCUUGAGUUCUGANNAUAUAUAUAUAUAUAUAUAUAUAUAUAUAUAUAUGUGUGUGUGUGUGUGUGUGUGUGUGUAAGUAUUACAUACAUGUGAGUGUCUUAUGGUUAUCAAGCCUUGCACCUAAUUAACCAUAUGCAAGAAAAUUGAAGUAGUACACAGGAAAUCCAUCAUCACGUAUUUCUUCAAAUUUUGCUGCCCUGCCUAGCUUGAUUUUGGUUUUGUGUGGAACAGUAACAAAGAAAGUAUUUGCAUUGUCACACAUGUAGUUGCUUACAGAGUAACAACCAUCCAUCCUGAUUAUCGAAUCAAAGUAGCCUUUAUCUCCCAGGAAACCACAUGCUUCUAUUGCAUCUCCCUGCCAAAAAUGAAUGGUUUUAUAUGUAUAUGUAUAAGUAUCUAACAUAGAAUUGAUUAUAAUUGACAAUUUCAUGUAAUAUUAUGGUGAAUGCACUCACACUUUUAUCAAGGAAUAUGUAGCAACAUUCAACUUUUUUCCCAUAUGAUAACAAUUUCCAAAUGACUUUUAUUUCUAUUGGCUUGUCUCCAUCACCAGGGUUUAAGUUUGCUACCAUACUUGUAUCCAUUUUUGUAGAAUCUGUGAAGUUCAAAUUAAAAUGAAAAAUCAACAAUUAAUUUUUUCCCCAUAAAAGAUUGGAAUUUUUUCUAUUACAGGGAUCCUUUCUGUAAGUUUAUUAUUACAGGUACUCUUUUAUACACAAAUGAUGUUGAAUAAUUAAUGACUAAAAGUUCACUAUUAGAUGGAACCUUUCUGUAACUUUACUACUACACAUGAACUAUUUAUGUAACUUUGUUUCAGAUUAUUUGUAUAAUUCAGUUAAAAUAUAAAUGCAGAAAAAUGCAAGAAAUUUUAAACUAAAUUUUAAAAAAUAAGCAACAAUUGACAACAUACUUUUAAACUUUGGACUGUAAAAUCAUGUUACCUGGAUAGUGUUUAAAAGUUGGUUUAAAAUUUCUUGCAGUUCCAAAAAUAAGCAUUAAAAAAUCGGUUUAAGCUUUUAAAAGUUUUCUUUAUAAGUACCUAUACGUAUAAAAAGACAAUGUUUAUGUAGUUGUGGAUAUAUAUUUCAUUAUCACAUUAGAAUUAAUAAUUCAGAGACUUAGACCCUAAAAAAAAUUAAAAAAAACUUGUAGACUAAUAUAUUGAUAUGAUAAUUAGGCAUGAAUAUAUUGGAAAGAUAGAUUCAACAAAAUUAAUUAACGAAGAGAACUAACCUGGAAGACAGGAAGCCGAUAUGUGGAAAAAGUGAAAUCGCAUGAAGUGUUUUAUCUGGUAAUAAGGAGUGGCUGGUGGAAAAAUCACGAAAUCUAUGAAUGAGAUCGAAGCGAACCGUACCUAGAAGAUUGCGUGAGGAAAAGAGGGGUAAGGCUGACUGGUUCUAUCGUACCUGGAAGGUUGCAUUAGGGAAAGAGGAAACAGUGAGGGAAGCUUGGGCAUUGUACUGGGCCUGAUGCUAUAUGCGAGAACCUUUUUUUUAUAAAUUGAAUUUUUGAUUUUAGGGAUAAUAAAUUGAAUUUUUGAUUUUAGGGAUAAGGCUUGAACGUAAUUUAGUUGUUUUUUCAUCUAAUUUAUAUUUUUAAAUUUUCUGUUAUCUAAUUUAAGUUAUAAGGUUUAUCAUUUAGUUAUUAAUUUUUUGUAAUAAGGUUUAAAAUAGAAGAUAGAAAAAAAAAUGUGAUUAAGAUUUCUUUUAUUUUUUGUAUAGUUAUCAAGCCUAAAGUCUUCAUAGCCUGAUAAAUCUUUUAUCAGAACAGAAGAAAACAUAGACCCCUGCUCUAUUAUCAUAACAACUUUAAAAAACAUGAUUUAUAGAAGAAACCAAUUUUUUUUUCCUUUUUUGGUCCCUAUUUAACUGUUUUAUAAUAUUUUUUGGUCUAUUUACCCCUUUCAUGUGCCUUACACAGGUAUUUUUUAUUAUAAAGAAGGAAAAGACCAAAGAGCCCAUGUGUGCAGGUGCGAGCCACGUCAAUGAGGUGAAUUAAAUCGAACAGUAAAAAGGGAAAGCGACCAUUUUUUGGACCAAAACCAAAAAAGACUCAAAAGGCAAAAAAGAAAAGUAAAUGACACAAAUCGGUUACCUGAUUUUGAUAAUUCUGACUUGUGUUCUUGUAGUACAUUAAAAGUAGAACACCAAAAAAGCAAAAACUGCCAAGAAAAAAUAAAAAAAAAAAAGUUCUCUUGGUUGUAUAAACCUGUGGAAGAGUGCAACAUCAUUAACACUAAAAAAACCAAAAAAGCAAUAAGAGGGGUUUAUAAGUCUGUCCAUUUAUUUUCCUUUUACUUAUAUAAUUUCAAAACAUAACUCAUUAAGAUAUUUUAGUUACAUUUUUUCUCUAUUACUUAUAUUAUACAAAAUCAUGUAACAUAAUUACCUUGCAACUGUUUGAUUCCUUCCACCUCUACCUUCAAACAUCAAUAUUACCAACAUCAUCGGUGCUACUGCUGUGGAAGGUGAUUUUUUUUUAAGUCAAUGAAGAAGAAGCUCCAUAUCUACAGCCUAAAAUAGGAAGGACUUCAAAUAAGGAAAUUUUUUCCCAAAAAAUGAAAAUUCGGUUACAUGUUAUUUUUGAGUGAAGUAACUCUAAUACUAAGUACCAAACAACGGUCAUUACGUAAAUUUUUUCAUUAAGUUUUUACAUUUUAAGCAAUAAAUCACAAAAGUGUUUAACUACCAACCUGUGCAGAUUCUAAUUUUGCUAAAAAAUUUGAGAAGACAAUAUUUUUUGUACAAUUAGAUGGCUGGUCCUCUUGUCUUUUAAUCAGUAUUUUGAGACCAGCUGCUGAUGUAGCCCUAGAUAGUGCAACGUACAAUUGCCCGUGACUGAAAAUUGGAUGAGGAAGAUAAAUUCCUAUCUUGUUUAAAGACUGGCCUUGGCUCUUGUUUAUCGUCAUGGCAUAACAAACUCUAACUGGGAAUUGCUUUCUUUUGAAAACGAAUGGUAAUUCUUUAUCAGUAUGAUUUAAAGUGAUUCGAGGUAUAUAAACUUUGUGGCCUAUCUGAACUCCAGUGAUGACUUCUGCCUGAAUAAGUCUUGGUAGAAGCUGUGUGAUAAUCAUCCUAGUUCCAUUGCAGAGCCCUUCCAUCUGAUUCAUGUUGCGGAGUAACAUGAUUGGAAUACCAACUUUUAGUUGAAGACGGUGAGUAGGGAAACCACUGAAGUUAAGCAGGUUCAAAUAUUCAGACGGAUAAAGAACCUUUGUAUCCCCUCUAUCAUUCGUAUGUGGAAUAAUUGAGUCGAAACUUAGAUAAAUAAUAGGUUUCCCUGGCAGAUUACACAAUAUGAGGUUGUUAAUUUCAUCUGCAGUUUCGUUUUUAGGGUAAACAAUGGCUUUGUCACAGAACAUGGUUGCUGUUGGAUUAUGAAAAAUGUCUUCGUCAUAUAUAAAGCGAACUAAAUCCUUAAGAGCAUCUUCAUGAUCUGGUAUGAGAUAUUUUUCUAGUAUCUCUACCCAUUUGGUGUCAGUAGGAUCAUCUUCAUCAUCUACACCAACACGUCCAUCUCCUAUCUGCAACAACCAUGAUGAAAAAGCAGCAAUUUCUUCUUUUUCUUUGGUACUUAGAUUAGGUUGAAGAAGCCUCAUAUUUUUUGAUAAUUUACAUACUUUGAAAUGGCUCCAUACUGACGAUUCAACUAUAGAUGACUCUAUGAUGUCUCUCUUGCUCGCUUUAGGUUUUACAGGUAAAGUUUGUCUGAAAUCCCCACCCAGCAGCACUGAUUUUCCACCAAAAGACUGCGUUGGCUCAUUAAGUAUAUCUUUAAGUGUCUUAUCUAAUGCCUCAAAGCAUCUUCGAUCUAUCAUUGGUGCCGCGUCCCAAAUAAUCAGUGCAGUUUCACUAAGCAAACGAGCAAGUUGUGUGUUUUUACUUAUGCUACAGAUGGAGUUAUUUGUAAGGUCCAAUGGAAUCUUGAAUCAAGAAUGUGUUGUUCUUCCCGAGGGCAGCAAAAGAGAUGCAAUACCAGAAGAUGCAACUGCUAAAACAAUUCUCCCACCAGACCUGAGCGCAGAAAUGAUUGUGGUCCAAAGGAAUGUUUUACCGGUACCACCAUGUCCAUAAACAAACAUAAGCAGUUGAUGGUUUUUCAAAGAAGCUUUCAUAAUAGUCUCAUAAAUAAUAUGUUGCUUGGAAUUAAGCGCAGACACCAUAACUUCCUUUUUUUGGCUCAUAGAAACUCUAUCAUAAUUUCUCUCUUCCAUGAACAAUUUAUUUUUUAAUUCUGCAAGCAAGUGUGGUGGAGGCAUAGGCAAACCAUAAUCACAAAGCAAGGAAUAACUGUUAUUAGAAUUUAGCAAGAUCUCUAACUCAUAUACGACAUACUGUUGCAAGUCAACUUCAUUAACAUGUAAGUUCACAACAUGUGAAUCUGCAGCUGCUCUUUGGACUAUAUCAUCACUCAUUCGCCACCAUUGUUUUGUCCAUAGAGCAAGAGAAUCUGCAACAUCACAAAAUAUAAGCAUGUGAGCAAACAGGGAUCUGAGUUCUUCAGCAGUUGCCCAGCUAGAAGCGUCAUCGAAUGCAUAUGUCCAUUCUUUGUCAUCACCAAGCAGCCCCAAUUGUUCACAUGCAACACGAUAGGUUGGAAAUAUGACAUCGCCUACUGUCUUGAUAUCAUUAAAUGUCUGACAUCCAACCUGGUGACUGAGAAGUCCUUAGAUAAAAGAGCUCACCCCAUGUUGGAUGAAUAUAGAUUAAUCUUCCAAUAGGAGGCGUCUUUUUUGACUUUCUACGACACCAGUCCUUCCCUCGAGCAAUCCAUUUAUAUUUUGAUAGAUAAUCAAGAUAAGUAAGAUGAUGACCACUGUCAUCAAUCUGAUUGUUUUUUAGCCAUUGUGUAAGAGUUGUUUUCUUUAUCAUUGGAUCAUCAACAACAUCUUGUAACAGUUGUUUGUCCUUAAACGUAAUUGUUUGCAUGUUUUCCAAAUGAACUGCAAGCACUUGCACGGCAGGAUUUCGAUGAUGGAUGUGAAAGUUGAAUAUCCUCCAAGCUGCCUCAUGAGGGCAAAUGAAUCUAGCAUCUACAAAGUUUUGUAUCUCAUUGAUGUUGCUCGUUUUUUUUAUCAACUUUAUCAGAAGGAUCGCCUAGAGAUUUAGUAAUUUUGGCUCUAAUACGGUCAGCUCCUUUGGAAAUGUAUUUGAAUAAGUAUUUAAUCAUCAUACUCCAACCACAAUAUUCAACAUUGAUAUGAGCUUGAAAAACCAAAGAAAGAUUUUUGUUGUAUGGGACAACAUAUCCAUUAUCUAGGUUGAUUCCAUAUUUCACUGCAAAGCACCCAUCAUUUCUUCUCUUAUAAUGAACAUACCCAUCCUUAUCAAACCGUGUGACAUCUUCAUAUUUUUUGGAAAAUGCUUUGAACAGACCCCAUCAAACAUGCAUGGUGCUUUCAUCUUUGCAAGACCGCAUGGUCCAUGCAUCAUAAGCUCGGUGACAAUCUUGUAGAGUUGAGGAUCAACGACUGGAUCAGGGAUUUCAGCAGAAAUAAACUGAUCAAGAUGUUCUGGGGUAUGAAUUUUAUAUGAAGGUGACACCCACAGGAGAGUAUGGCAAUGGGGCAGGCCUCUUUUUUGGAAUUAUAUAGUAUACAGCUCUGCAUGCAUAAGAAAAAAAACAUAAGCUAAGGAUAUAAUAUUUUGAGACAAUAUAUUGUAAUGGAUGAACAAUAUGCCAGUUAAUAAUGACAUUACCUGCUACAACUUGUCCGAAAGGUUUUUCAUUUUUCAAAUAGUGAAUAAAAUCCUUAACCUUCAUCUCGAAUAUUCUAGCAAUAAUAUCAGCCCUGACCUUAGCCUUCAUUCCAGGAUAUUGUGCUAGAUAUCUUGAAAUCUCUGGCCAUUUAACAUUGCAAGUGUAUGUUAUAAAAUAUUGAGGAUUUCCAUGUACUCUACAUAUAGCAAGGGCAUCCUGAUAAUGCUUGUACAUAUAUCUAGAACCGCCAGUAAAAGACGCGGGAAAUAUUGUCCUUUUCCCGACUUCAUGGCCAUCAGAAUCACCUUUCAAUAACGCAUCAUGAACGCCCUGAAGGUACUCGGUCCUAAAAACAUCUUGCAUUGAUUCAAUGUAAUCCAAUCUAUUUUGCUCAAUAGAUAUAUAUGCAUUAACUAAAAACUGUUGGAACAGCCUGCCUCCUCUAGGUAACAAUGCAUAUAUGUUGAACCGAUCAUGUAGUUGAAAGCUGUAAAACAUAUUCAUCGUCAGUUGCUUAUCACCUAUACAUCCAUCAUUUACUUGCUUAAGCUCGAUCGACCAACCAUGCUCACCAAAAACAAACAGUAACGGGAACUGCAAUGCCAUAUACAAAGGAUGCAACUUAUUUAUUCUUCGAGGCCGCCCAUCUCACAUGCGGAUUAUUAUGUCAAAAUCAUUUUUAC